GUGAGGAAUAUUGGACAAUGGGCGCAAGCCUGAUCCAGCCAUGCCGCGUGCAGGAAGACACAUCUAUGGUGUGUAAACUGCUUUUGUACGGGAAGAAACACUCCCUCGUGAGGGAGCUUGACGGUACCGUAAGAAUAAGGAUCGGCUAACUCCGUGCCAGCAGCCGCGGUAAUACGGAGGAUCCAAGCGUUAUCCGGAAUCAUUGGGUUUAAAGGGUCCGUAGGCGGUUUAAUAAGUCAGUGGUGAAAGCCCAUCGCUCAACGAUGGAACGGCCAUUGAUACUGUUAGACUUGAAUUACAAGGAAGUAACUAGAAUAUGUAGUGUAGCGGUGAAAUGCUUAGAUAUUACAUGGAAUACCAAUUGCGAAGGCAGGUUACUACUUGUGGAUUGACGCUGAUGGACGAAAGCGUGGGGAGCGAACAGGAUUAGAAACCCCAGUAGUCC
rnacentral:rRNA from 1 species